rnacentral:misc_RNA from 1 species
GGCCUUGCAUGAGGCGGCACGAAACGAAAGAAGUCGGGACAUUGUGAAAGCAAUAAUGCGUAAUGAAGAUCCAACAAAGUUUACAUAUUCUGCCAAUAAUAAUGGGGAAACUCCGCUUUACCUAGCUGUUAAAAAUAGAAAUAUGGAGAUAGCUUUUGAACUAUUAAAUCAUCCCGAUUCACAAUUACUGGCUUAUGGUGGUCCCAAUGGUAAAACGGCAUUACAU